rnacentral:lncRNA from 1 species
UCUGGCCAUGGAUACGGCCAUGGCAGUUGCGGAGAAAUAGUUAAACAUUUCCUGUAGCAGCUUAGGACAGUACAGUUUGUGAGUUAACAGAUCAGGGUGAGCCUCAGUGUUUCCUGGUGUACUGUACUCAUCCGCCAACUUAGGACAGCUGUUUAGUGAUCGCAGAGGUGCGACACCCGUUUCAGAGCCAUUUACAUUAUUUAGUAGUUAAACAUUUCCUGUAGCAGCUUAGGACAGUACAGUUUGUGAGUUAACAGAUCAGGGUGAGCCUCAGUGUUUCCUGGUGUACUGUACUCAUCCGCCAACUUAGGACAGCUGUUUAGUGAUCGCAGAGGUGCGACACCCGUUUCAGAGCCAUUUACAU